GUUGAAAUAACAAUCGCUGUAAAGGGAUUUGGGGACUCUGAUUCAUGGAACAACAAAUUUGGAUUCCGCCAGAUUGAGAGCACAAUAGAUGAAGUCACUGGUGGAAGAUUGUUCAAGGUGAAUGGACAACGUGUCUUCAUUCGUGGUGGAAAUUGGAUUUUGUCCGAUGGCCUCCUGCGGCUGUCGAAGAAGCGCUACAUGACAGACAUAAAGUUUCAUGCAGAUAUGAACUUUAAUAUGAUCCGCUGCUGGGGAGGUGGAUUGGCUGAGAGGCCAGAAUUCUACCAUUACUGUGACAUCUAUGGUUUAUUGGUGUGGCAAGAGUUCUGGAUAACCGGAGACUGUGAUGGGCGAGGGAUACCCGUAUCAAAUCCCAAUGGACCUUUGGAUCAUGCCCUUUUCUUGCACUGUGCAAGGGACACAAUCAAGCUCUUGAGGAAUCACGCAAGUCUUGCUCUUUGGGUUGGUGGGAACGAGCAAAUACCACCUGAAGAUAUUAACUCAGCCCUUAAGAAUGACUUGAAGCUCUAUCCUUUCUACGAGCACAAUGGAGCCACUGUUAUAGGUGAAGAUAUGCUCAGCGAAACAAAAGACCCUAGUCAAUAUCUCGACGGGACUCGUGUUUACAUUCAAGGAUCUAUGUGGGAAGGAUUUGCAAACGGAAAAGGCGACUUUACGGAUGGUCCUUACGAAAUCCAAAACCCUGAAGAUUUCUUCAAGGAUGAUUUCUAUAGCUAUGGGUUCAACCCCGAGGUUGGCAGUGUGGG
rnacentral:misc_RNA from 1 species